ACGGUCCUAAGGUAGCGAAAUUCCUUGUCGGGUAAGUUCCGACCCGCACGAAAGGUGUAACGACUUGGGCACUGUCUCAACGAGGGACCCGGUGAAAUUGAAAUACCUGUGAAGAUGCAGGUUACCCGCGACUGGACAGAAAGACCCCAUGGAGCUUCACUGCAGCUUGAGAUUGAAUCUCGGUGAUGCAUGCACAGGAUAGGUGGGAGACUAAGAAGUAUGGGCUUUGGCUUAUACCGAGUCGAUGUUGGGAUACCACCCUUGUAUUGCUGAGAUUCUAACACGGAGGCUAACAACCUCGUGGACCAUCUCAGGUAGGCGGUUUGACUGGGGCGGUCGCCUCCGAAAGAGUAACGGAGGCGCCCAAAGGUUCCCUCAGCGCGGCCGGAAAUCGCGCGAAGAGUGUAAAGGCAGAAGGGAGCUUGACUGAGAGCCAAACACGGCGAUCAGGUACGAAAGUAGGGCUUAGUGAUCCGGUGGCAUCCAAGUGGAAGGGCCAUCGCUCAACGGAUAAAAGCUACCCUGGGGAUAACAGGCUAAUCUCUCCCAAGAGUUCAUAUCGACGGGGAGGUUUGGCACCUCGAUGUCGGCUCAUCACAUCCUGGAGCUGGAGUAGGUUCCAAGGGUUGGGCUGUUCGCCCAUUAAAGUGGUACGCGAGCUGGGUUCAAAACGUCGUGAGACAGUUUGGUUCAUAUCCAUCGCGGGCGCAAGAAGUUUGAGGGAGGCUGCUCCUAGUACGAGAGGACCGGAGUGGACGGAUCAACGGUGUACCAGUUGUCACGCCAGUGGCACGGCUGGAAAGCCGCAUCCGGAAAGGAUAAACGCUGAAAGCAUCUAAGCGUGAAGCCCGUCCCGAGAUGAGACUUCUCAUCAGCAAUGAGUAAGACCCCUUAAAGACGAUGAGGUUGAUAGGCUGUGAGUGGAAGGCCCGUAAGGGUUGGAGCGACGCAGUACUAAUAGGUCGAGGUCUUAACUUG
rnacentral:rRNA from 1 species